rnacentral:lncRNA from 1 species
AGAACUAUUGUUAAAUAAUAACGAAUAAAAAGAAAUAUGAAUAUUAAACGAAUUUCAGUAAGAAUUAAUAAAUAAACAAAAUGAUUUAAUACAAUGAAACAAUGUUUUUCUAAAACGUAACUCAAAUCAAAUAUGUGUAUGUGCAGUUUACACUUGACAAAGAAGAUCGAACAAACUAGAGGAACUUUCUAAAACGCCUUUUAGAUACUUUUCAUGACGUGGCAGUUUCCUAUUGGUUGUGUGAACUGCUUCUUUUAGCCGGCCAUAAAAAAAAAAUCUUUGCCUUGACCACAACGGCAGGAAUCACAUGGGCCGCGGAACAUUCCCCUUUACCAUACUCCGUAUCUUCACGCGUUUAAGGCGGCGCGUGCUCUCUCCUCCCUCUAAACACAUCUCAGCCACUAACUGUAGACGCCGUCUCCUUCACGCGCCAGACUUUCACAGAUUUGUCCAAGCUUCCGCUAUACACUAUCCAUUUCUGAUCUC